UAUUGGACAAUGGGCGAAAGCCUGAUCCAGCAAUGCCGCGUGAGUGAUGAAGGCCCUAGGGUUGUAAAGCUCUUUUACCCGGGAAGAUAAUGACUGUACCGGGAGAAUAAGCCCCGGCUAACUCCGUGCCAGCAGCCGCGGUAAUACGGAGGGGGCUAGCGUUGUUCGGAAUUACUGGGCGUAAAGCGCACGUAGGCGGCUUUGUAAGUCAGAGGUGAAAGCCUGGAGCUCAACUCCAGAACUGCCUUUGAGACUGCAUCGCUUGAAUCCAGGAGAGGUCAGUGGAAUUCCGAGUGUAGAGGUGAAAUUCGUAGAUAUUCGGAAGAACACCAGUGGCGAAGGCGGCUGACUGGACUGGUAUGACGCUGAGGUGCGAA
rnacentral:rRNA from 1 species